rnacentral:rRNA from 1 species
GNNUUUUUCCGGGGGGGGAGGCACCAGUGGGGAAUAUUGCACAAUGGGGGAAACCCUGAUGCAGCCAUGCCGCGUGUGUGAAGAAGGCCUUCGGGUUGUAAAGCACUUUCAGUAGGGAGGAAAGGGUGUAGUUUAAUACGNUAUAUCUGUGACGUUACCUACAGAAGAAGGACCGGCUAACUCCGUGCCAGCAGCCGCGGUAAUACGGAGGGUCCGAGCGUUAAUCGGAAUUACUGGGCGUAAAGCGUGCGCAGGCGGUUUGUUAAGCGAGAUGUGAAAGCCCUGGGCUCAACCUAGGAAUAGCAUUUCGAACUGGCGAACUAGAGUCUUGUAGAGGGGGGUAGAAUUCCAGGUGUAGCGGUGAAAUGCGUAGAGAUCUGGAGGAAUACCGGUGGCGAAGGCGGCCCCCUGGACAAAGACUGACGCUCAUGCACGAAAGCGUGGGGAGCAAACAGGAUUAGAUACCCUGGUAGUCCACGCCGUAAACGAUGUCUACUCGGAGUUUGGUGUCUUGAACACUGGGCUCUCAAGCUAACGCAUUAAGUAGACCGCCUGGGGAGUACGGCCGCAAGGUUAAAACUCAAAUGAAUUGACGGGGGCCCGCACAAGCGGUGGAGCAUGUGGUUUAAUUCGAUGCAACGCGAAGAACCUUACCUACUCUUGACAUCCACGGAAUUCGCUAGAGAUAGCUUAGUGCCUUCGGGAACCGUGAGACAGGUGCUGCAUGGCUGUCGUCAGCU